GCGAGACCCCUCUCCAACGAGCGAGCCAGACAUCGCAGACUACUAUGAUCCAGAAAUGUUUCAAACCAGACGCAUGACCCGAUCAAUGUCUAUGUACUACCACCCGAAGAUUUACCCUCGGGAAUACCCUUGAGUACCUUUCAUUAGUUUUUGUUCGUGUCCUGUUUACUGUGAUUGCAUUUUAUCUUCAGAUAUUUGUUACAAUUUACAUUUGCUGGAGGUCAGGUCCAUGCCCCC
rnacentral:lncRNA from 1 species